rnacentral:rRNA from 1 species
AGUCGGAAUCGCUAGUAAUCGCGGAUCAGCAUGCCGCGGUGAAUACGUUCCCAGGCCUUGUACACACCGCCCGUCACACCAUGGGAGUUUGUUGCACCAGAAGCAGGUAGCUUAACCUUCGGGAGGGCGCUUGCCACGGUGUGGCCGAUGACUGGGGUGAAGUCGUAACAAGGUAGCCGUAGGGGAACCUGCGGCUGGAUCACCUC